AGAGUUUGAUCAUGGCUCAGAUUGAACGCUGGCGGCAGGCCUAACACAUGCAAGUCGAACGGUAACAGAAAGCAGCUUGCUGCUUUGCUGACGAGUGGCGGACGGGUGAGUAAUGUCUGGGAAACUGCCUGAUGGAGGGGAUAACUACUGGAAACGGUAGCUAAUACCGCAUAACGUCGCAAGACCAAAGAGGGGGACCUUCGGGCCUCUUGCCAUCGGAUGUGCCCAGAUGGGAUUAGCUUGUUGGUGGGGUAACGGCUCACCAAGGCGACGAUCCCUAGCUGGUCUGAGAGGAUGACCAGCCACACUGGAACUGAGACACGGUCCAGACUCCUACGGGAGGCAGCAGUGGGGAAUAUUGCACAAUGGGCGCAAGCCUGAUGCAGCCAUGCCGCGUGUAUGAAGAAGGCCUUCGGGUUGUAAAGUACUUUCAGCGGGGAGGAAGGGAGUAAAGUUAAUACCUUUGCUCAUUGACGUUACCCGCAGAAGAAGCACCGGCUAACUCCGUGCCAGCAGCCGCGGUAAUACGGAGGGUGCAAGCGUUAAUCGGAAUUACUGGGCGUAAAGCGCACGCAGGCGGUUUGUUAAGUCAGAUGUGAAAUCCCCGGGCUCAACCUGGGAACUGCAUCUGAUACUGGCAAGCUUGAGUCUCGUAGAGGGGGGUAGAAUUCCAGGUGUAGCGGUGAAAUGCGUAGAGAUCUGGAGGAAUACCGGUGGCGAAGGCGGCCCCCUGGACGAAGACUGACGCUCAGGUGCGAAAGCGUGGGGAGCAAACAGGAUUAGAUACCCUGGUAGUCCACGCCGUAAACGAUGUCGACUUGGAGGUUGUGCCCUUGAGGCGUGGCUUCCGGAGCUAACGCGUUAAGUCGACCGCCUGGGGAGUACGGCCGCAAGGUUAAAACUCAAAUGAAUUGACGGGGGCCCGCACAAGCGGUGGAGCAUGUGGUUUAAUUCGAUGCAACGCGAAGAACCUUACCUGGUCUUGACAUCCACGGAAGUUUUCAGAGAUGAGAAUGUGCCUUCGGGAACCGUGAGACAGGUGCUGCAUGGCUGUCGUCAGCUCGUGUUGUGAAAUGUUGGGUUAAGUCCCGCAACGAGCGCAACCCUUAUCCUUUGUUGCCAGCGGUCCGGCCGGGAACUCAAAGGAGACUGCCAGUGAUAAACUGGAGGAAGGUGGGGAUGACGUCAAGUCAUCAUGGCCCUUACGACCAGGGCUACACACGUGCUACAAUGGCGCAUACAAAGAGAAGCGACCUCGCGAGAGCAAGCGGACCUCAUAAAGUGCGUCGUAGUCCGGAUUGGAGUCUGCAACUCGACUCCAUGAAGUCGGAAUCGCUAGUAAUCGUGGAUCAGAAUGCCACGGUGAAUACGUUCCCGGGCCUUGUACACACCGCCCGUCACACCAUGGGAGUGGGUUGCAAAAGAAGUAGGUAGCUUAACCUUCGGGAGGGCGCUUACCACUUUGUGAUUCAUGACUGGGGUGAAGUCGUAACAAGGUAACCGUAGGGGAACCUGCGGUUGGAUCACCU
rnacentral:rRNA from 1 species